rnacentral:rRNA from 1 species
UACGUAGGGCGCAAGCGUUGUCCGGAAUUAUUGGGCGUAAAGAGCUCGUAGGCGGUCUGUCGCGUCGGAUGUGAAAGCCCGGGGCUUAACCCCGGGUCUGCAUUCGAUACGGGCAGAUUAGAGUGUGGUAGGGGAGAUCGGAAUUCCUGGUGUAGCGGUGAAAUGCGCAGAUAUCAGGAGGAACACCGGUGGCGAAGGCGGAUCUCUGGGCCAUUACUGACGCUGAGGAGCGAAAGCGUGGGGAGCGAACAGG